rnacentral:rRNA from 1 species
UACGUAGGUGGCGAGCGUUGUCCGGAAUUACUGGGUGUAAAGCGCGUGUAGGCGGGAGGCCAAGUCUGUGGUGAAAUCGCUCGGCUUAACUGGGCGGGGUCCAUGGAAACUGGUCACCUGGAGGUCGGUAGAGGCAAGUGGAAUUCCCGGUGUAGUGGUGAAAUGCGUAGAGAUCGGGAGGAACACCAGUGGCGAAGGCGGCUCACUGGCCCGGUACUGACGCUGAGGUGCGAAAGCGUGGGGAGCAAACAGG